GUCUACGGCCAUACCACCCUGAACGUGCCCGAUCUUGUCUGAUCUCGGAAGCUAAGCAGGGUCGGGCCUGGUUAGUACUUGGAUGGAAGACUUCCAGGGAAUACCGGUUGCUUUUGCUU
ensembl:rRNA 5S_rRNA 5S ribosomal RNA